rnacentral:rRNA from 1 species
GAUGAACGCUGGCGGCGUGCCUAAUACAUGCAAGUCGAGCGAACGGACGAGAAGGUUUCUUUUCUGAUGUUAGCGGCGGAAGGGUGAGUAACACGUGGAGAACCUACCUAUAAAACUGGGAUAACUUCGGGAAACCGGAGCGAAUACCGGGUAAUAUUUUGAACCGCAUGGUUCAUAAGUGAAAGACGGUCUUGCUGUCACUUAUAGAUGGAUCCGCGCUGCAUUAGCUAGUUGGUAAUGUAACGGCUUACCAAGGCAACGAUGCAUAGCCGACCUGCGAGGGUGAUCGGAGACACUGGAACUGAGACACGGUCCAGACUCCUACGGGAGGCAGAAGUCGGGAAUCUUCCGCAAUGGGCGAAAGCCUGACGGAGCAACGCCGCGUGAGUGAUGAAGGUCUUCGGAUCGUAAAAUUCUGUAAUUAGGGAAGAACAUAUGUGUAAGUAACUGUGCACAUCUUGACGGUACCUAACGAGAAAGCCACGGCUAACUACGUG